rnacentral:lncRNA from 1 species
CUUAAUAAAACCUCGGCAAAUGUCCGAAAUAUAUUUCUGUGAACCCAGUGUCUUCACCCUAAAUGCAACGACCCGAAAUACUACUGCCGGAUACCGGUGGGUAAAAGUCAGCCCUUGAAUUCAAGUUGCGCCUACCUUCGGGUCAAAAAAAGAAUGUAUUUUGUCGUUUUCAGCGAGGAGUGGAACAUAAUAAACAGCAGCCUGGGGCCCUCCAUGUAUAUAUUACUACAAACCCCAUAAUCCCCACCAUGCCUCUGGAGGCCGCCAGAUUAGGGGAAACUGAUUUCUCUCCGCAUUGACACAAUCGUACAAUUGCGCAUUGUUGUGUAGGCACACACCACAAUACUGGUUGCAGUCCUCCCACACACUGAACCUGGGAGUGGGUUCCAUUGGACAGGAUGGGGCCUUAUUCUGAGAAGAUCUGUAUCUUAAGGAAACCGCUAAGAACGACACGAGGGACGUGAGCCUCAAAUAUCUUUAACAUAGCAAUAAUGGAGAAAUUUCAACAGGAAAAGCUGCAAUUCAGCUUUAUAAGAUAUAGUCAAGCUCGUUCAGCUAAAAUACUCUGGCAUCAUCCGAUGGAACACCCCUAUUCUCUUAAAGACCUCGAGCAAUUUCAAAUCACCUGAGGCAAAACUGAGUGCGGAAAUAUUGUAAGAAAUGUGGCUUAGGUUGGCGGUGCGGAAUUAAUUAGCCGGAUCAAUAAGCUUUUUUUCUUUCAUAAGGCCGGCUCUUGAACAGCAGUAAUAUUAGCUCUAAUGAGGUAGCAGCCGCCUUCCCAUAAAGGAGCAUGAACAGUUAUGUGAAGGCAGCAUUCCCAUGCACUCUGAAACAAACCAGAACUUAAUUCGGAGUAAACGUGAGCCGAGGCGAGGUACGCAGGACGGUGAAUGUAAGGUACAGUAUUAAUAUGGGCCGAGCACCCGGAUCCCUUCCAGAAGCAGAGCGGAGAAGAAACCGAGAACCCUACUUCACAGGCCAAGCUUACUCGGAAGUAAGGCGGAUCCUAAGGAGUCUUAAAGCUUCCAGGAAGGCCUGGGGUCCACUCAUCAGCUGCUACUUUAAGUUAACCGCGAUGUCAAGCAAGUGAACUGCUGAGAAGCGAGUCCCAGACCACCAGGGAAGGCAAGGGGGCAUUUUUGGCCCAUCCGAACCGACACCGCGCAGCCAUCGCUGAAUAAUAAGCCGACGUUUAUGUAAAUCCAGUUGAUCUAAUGGGCCGACUCUAGCUGCCACUCGCAGUUGGUUUGGGACCAUUUAAGGACUUGCUGCGUGAGGAAAUAAGAAAUUGGCUUUAAUCCUCCUUAAUAACCUUCCGCUUCCUUGAAAUUAACUUUCAGUCGUUGAGACCUGUCCUCCAGGAUCCAUCCGUGCUGAUCUACUCGGAAGGAAUUCCCAUCUGGUUUAAUGGGGUUUGUUCCCGAGUAAAUUGCAUAGAGAGGAUUGCCUGUGUUGCACCUGAAACGCGUCGUGGCCUCUCUCUUGCAGUAUAUG